GACGAACGCUGGCGGCGUGCCUAAUACAUGCAAGUUGAGCGCUGAAGGUUGGUACUUGUACCGACUGGAUGAGCAGCGAACGGGUGAGUAACGCGUGGGGAAUCUGCCUUUGAGCGGGGGACAACAUUUGGAAACGAAUGCUAAUACCGCAUAAAAACUUUAAACACAAGUUUUACGUUUGAAAGAUGCAAUUGCAUCACUCAAAGAUGAUCCCGCGUUGUAUUAGCUAGUUGGUGAGGUAAAGGCUCACCAAGGCGAUGAUACAUAGCCGACCUGAGAGGGUGAUCGGCCACAUUGGGACUGGGACACGGCCCAAACUCCUACGGGAGGCAGCAGUAGGGAAUCUUCGGCAAUGGACGAAAGGCUGACCGAGCAACGCCGCGUGAGUGAAGAAGGUUUUCGGAUCGUAAAACUCUGUUGGUAGAGAAGAACGUUGGUGAGAGUGGAAAGCUCAUCAAGUGACGGUAACUACCCAGAAAGGGACGGCUAACUACGUG
rnacentral:rRNA from 1 species